AUACUUACCUGGGGCCGGGGACUCGUUGAUCACCGAGGACGAGCCCCCAGGGCGAGGCGCGGCCAUUGCACUGCGCUCGCGUUGACCACUGCCGCUACCCCACACUGGGGCAUGUAAACUGCUUAAAUC
rnacentral:snRNA from 1 species